AAAAAGAAAGGAAACAAAAAAAAACCAAAAUAAAAAGAGAAAGAAAAAAUGAAAAUAGUUUGGAAUGCUAGUUUUGUCGUUUUGUGAAAAGAAAAAAAGAAGUAAAAAGAGAAAUUUUUUUGGCCAGCAGAGGCGGUUUUUGGGGUGGCAGAGAGGUUGCAAGACUGACAAAGGUACGUGCUGGUUGGGGAGAAAAAAAAAACGGUUUUAGC
rnacentral:lncRNA from 1 species